UACGUAGGGGGCGAGCGUUGUCCGAAUUCACUGGGCGUAAAGCGCGCGUAGGCGGGUUUUUAAGUUGUGGGUGAAAUCCCGAGGCUCAACCUCGGAGCUGCCUGCAAAACUGGAAGCCUUGAGGUUUGGAGAGGGAAGUGGAAUUCCAGGUGUAGCGGUGAAAUGCGUAGAUAUCUGGAGGAACACCCGUGGCGAAGGCGGCUUCCUGGCCAUAUCCUGACGCUGAGGUGCGAAAGCUAGGGGAGCGAACGGG
rnacentral:rRNA from 1 species